GGGCCGGUCGUCUAGCCUGGUUUGGACGCUGCUCUCACACGGCAGAGGUCGGCGGUCCGAAUCCGCCCCGGCCCA
rnacentral:tRNA from 1 species